AUGUGGUUUAAUUCGAUGCAACGCGAAAAACCUUACCCACCUUUGACAUGUACGGAAGUGACCAGAGAUGGACAUGUGCUCGAAAGAGAACCGUAACACAGGUGCUGCAUGGCUGUCGUCAGCUCGUGUCGUGAGAUGUUGGGUUAAGUCCCGCAACGAGCGCAACCCUUGCCAUUAGUUGCUACAUUUAGUUGGGCACUCUAAUGGGACUGCCGGUGACAAACCGGAGGAAGGUGGGGAUGACGUCAAGUCCUCAUGGCCCUUAUAGGUGGGGCUACACACGUCAUACAAUGGCUGGUACAAAGGGUUGCCAACCCGCGAGGGGGAGCUAAUCCCAUAAAGCCAGUCGUAGUCCGGAUCGCAGUCUGCAACUCGACUGCGNGAAGUCGGAAUCGC
rnacentral:rRNA from 1 species